UACGUAGGGGGCGAGCGUUGCCCGGAGUUACUGGGCGUAAAGCGCACGCAGGCGGUCUGCUAAGUUUGGAGUGACAGUUGGUGGCUCAACCACCAAAGUGCUUUGAAAACUGACAGACUUGAGGGCUUCAGAGGGACACGGAAUUCCGGGUGGAGUGGUGAAAUGCGUAGAGAUCCGGAGGAACACCAAAGGCGAAGGCAGUGUCCUGGGGAGUACCUGACGCUCAGGUGCGAAAGCCAGGGGAGCGAACGGG
rnacentral:rRNA from 1 species